rnacentral:misc_RNA from 1 species
CAGCCGGGUAAUUCCAGCUCCAAUAGCGUAUAUUAAAGUUGUUGCAGUUAAAAAGCUCGUAGUUGAAUUUCGGGAUUGACGUGAUGGUCAUGCCUUAAGGGGUAUGAACUGUUACUGUUGAUUUCUCACCUUCUGGAGAAACUUGAUGUCCUUUAUUGGGUGUCUUGCGGAUCCAGGACCUUUACCUUGAAAAAAUUAGAGUGUUUAAAGCAGGCAUUUUUGCUCGAAUACAUUAGCAUGGAAUAAUAGAAUAGGACGGCAUGGUUCUAUUUUGUUGGUUUCUAGGAUCACCGUAAUGAUUAAUAGGGAUAGUUGGGGGCAUUAGUAUUCAAUUGUCAGAGGUGAAAUUCUUGGAUUUAUUGAAGACUAACUACUGCGAAAGCAUUUGCCAAGGAUGUUUUCAUUAAUCAAGAACGAAAGUUAGGGGAUCGAAGACGAUCAGAUACCGUCGUAGUCUUAACCAUAAACUAUGCCGACUAGGAAUCAGACGAUGUUAAUUUUUUAAUGACUCGUUUGGCACCUUACG